rnacentral:misc_RNA from 1 species
GAAAAGCUCGGGCGCUCCGAACUACCGAUGUUGCUCGCCUUACCGAAGAAAUCAAAGCGAAAAAAGAAGAGGCUGUGACGAGGGAAGCUAGUGCUUGUGUGAAUGCCCACAGCGAUCUUUUGGCCAAGCUCGAGAGGCGUUAUCCUGGGGAAGACUUCUUGUGGAUGGUGGAUCUGGCUCCUCAAGACGAAGAGGAGAGCGAGGAGGAAACCGAGAGAGAGAGGGAGAAUGAGCGAAAUGUCAAUGUACCUGCAGAACAGGCUGGGGGUGACCCUCCAGCCGAAU